AGAGUUUGAUCAUGGCUCAGAUUGAACGCUGGCGGCAGGCCUAACACAUGCAAGUCGAGCGGUAGCACAGAGAGCUUGCUCUCGGGUGACGAGCGGCGGACGGGUGAGUAAUGUCUGGGAAACUGCCUGAUGGAGGGGGAUAACUACUGGAAACGGUAGCUAAUACCGCAUAAUGUCGCAAGACCAAAGUGGGGGACCUUCGGGCCUCAUGCCAUCAGAUGUGCCCAGAUGGGAUUAGCUAGUAGGUGGGGUAACGGCUCACCUAGGCGACGAUCCCUAGCUGGUCUGAGAGGAUGACCAGCCACACUGGAACUGAGACACGGUCCAGACUCCUACGGGAGGCAGCAGUGGGGAAUAUUGCACAAUGGGCGCAAGCCUGAUGCAGCCAUGCCGCGUGUGUGAAGAAGGCCUUCGGGUUGUAAAGCACUUUCAGCGGGGAGGAAGGCGAUAAGGUUAAUAACCUUGGCGAUUGACGUUACCCGCAGAAGAAGCACCGGCUAACUCCGUGCCAGCAGCCGCGGUAAUACGGAGGGUGCAAGCGUUAAUCGGAAUUACUGGGCGUAAAGCGCACGCAGGCGGUCUGUCAAGUCGGAUGUGAAAUCCCCGGGCUCAACCUGGGAACUGCAUUCGAAACUGGCAGGCUAGAGUCUUGUAGAGGGGGGUAGAAUUCCAGGUGUAGCGGUGAAAUGCGUAGAGAUCUGGAGGAAUACCGGUGGCGAAGGCGGCCCCCUGGACAAAGACUGACGCUCAGGUGCGAAAGCGUGGGGAGCAAACAGGAUUAGAUACCCUGGUAGUCCACGCCGUAAACGAUGUCGAUUUGGAGGUUGUGCCCUUGAGGCGUGGCUUCCGGAGCUAACGCGUUAAAUCGACCGCCUGGGGAGUACGGCCGCAAGGUUAAAACUCAAAUGAAUUGACGGGGGCCCGCACAAGCGGUGGAGCAUGUGGUUUAAUUCGAUGCAACGCGAAGAACCUUACCUGGUCUUGACAUCCACAGAACUUUCCAGAGAUGGAUUGGUGCCUUCGGGAACUGUGAGACAGGUGCUGCAUGGCUGUCGUCAGCUCGUGUUGUGAAAUGUUGGGUUAAGUCCCGCAACGAGCGCAACCCUUAUCCUUUGUUGCCAGCGGUUAGGCCGGGAACUCAAAGGAGACUGCCAGUGAUAAACUGGAGGAAGGUGGGGAUGACGUCAAGUCAUCAUGGCCCUUACGACCAGGGCUACACACGUGCUACAAUGGCAUAUACAAAGAGAAGCGACCUCGCGAGAGCAAGCGGACCUCAUAAAGUAUGUCGUAGUCCGGAUUGGAGUCUGCAACUCGACUCCAUGAAGUCGGAAUCGCUAGUAAUCGUAGAUCAGAAUGCUACGGUGAAUACGUUCCCGGGCCUUGUACACACCGCCCGUCACACCAUGGGAGUGGGUUGCAAAAGAAGUAGGUAGCUUAACCUUCGGGAGGGCGCUUACCACUUUGUGAUUCAUGACUGGGGUGAAGUCGUAACAAGGUAACCGUAGGGGAACCUGCGGUUGGAUCACCU
rnacentral:rRNA from 1 species